AAAGAAACCAACAGGGAUUGCCCCAGUAACGGCGAGUGAAGCGGCAAAAGCUCAAAUUUGAAAUCUGGCUCCUUUUCGGGGUCCGAGUUGUAAUUUGCAGAGGAUGCUUUGGGUGCACCCGCGGCGUAAGUCCCUUGGAACAGGGCGUCAUAGAGGGUGAGAAUCCCGUCUUGCGUCGCUGGCGUGUGCCCGUGCAAAGCUCCUUCGACGAGUCGAGUUGUUUGGGAAUGCAGCUCUAAUUGGGUGGUAAAUUUCAUCUAAAGCUAAAUACUGGCCGGAGACCGAUAGCGAACAAGUAGAGUGAUCGAAAGGUUAAAAGCACCUUGAAAAGGGAGUUAAAUAGCACGUGAAAUUGUUGAAAGGGAAGCGCUUGCAGCCAGACUCGGGCGCGGAGGCUCAGCGGGCAUGUUUGCCCGUGUACUCCUUCGCGCCCGGGCCAGCAUCAGUUUUGGCGGCCGGUCAAAGGUCCCCGGAAUGUGUCGUCCUCCGGGACGUCUUAUAGCCGGGGGCGCAAUGCGGCCAGCUGGGACUGAGGAACGCGCUUCGGCACGGAUGCUGGCGU
rnacentral:rRNA from 2 species